GGAGCCGCGAGCGCCACCAGGGCAGCAGCCGCCGCAGCCGCCGCCGCUGGGCAGAGGAGCCGGAGACGCGAGCGGGCGAGGUGGCGGCGGCGGCGGAGCGGGAGCGGGUACCGGGCGCGGGCAGAGCGCGGCGGCGCGGUAGAGACGGGGUUUUGCCAUGUUGACCUGGCUGGUCUCGAACUCCUGAACGCAAGUGAUCCGCCUGCCUCAGCCUCCCAAGGUGCUGGGAUUACAGGCACGAGCCACUGUGCCUGGCCUCAACUGUUGCUUCUUAUAAAGGUGUGUUCCAGAGAACAAGCCUUCAGACAUUUGCUAUAUUGACGCUGAGCUGUCAGGGGACUCAGGCUUAUGAGGAGGUAUUGUUACACAAAACAGUGUCUAGUGAAGACGACAAGAAAGAGGGGAAAGGAUCGG
rnacentral:lncRNA from 10 species